rnacentral:lncRNA from 1 species
UUUAGUUAUCAAUAAGCAGUUCCUUUUCUCUCAGCUUUAUCCUCUCAGCUUUGCUUUUCUUUGUGUACACUUUCAUCCUUAAACUGGCUUCUUUCUUUUGCAAGAUGUCUGUAUUUGAAAUUAUAUGUUUUCUCUUUAAAUUGGAAAGGGAAAGAGCAUAGCUACCCACACCAUCAAAGAAAAGUCCUGAAGUUUGUUAUGUUUGGACCAAUUUGAGACCAGUCACUGUGCCCAGAAAAAAAAAUCACUUGCCAAGACCUGCCAGCCACUACCACUGAAGCACAAAGGCUGAUUUAGAGGAAACGGAGACAUGGAACUGUACAAUGAGGAGAGGGCUGUCUUCAGUGGGCGAUGGGAGCAGUUUAAAGUCCUGUCAGGAGAAAAAUCAUCCUGAAUCCACUGAUUCCUGCUAUUCCAUGCCAUGAAAAUAGAUUGAAACUGGUCCUAUGAAUAGUGAAUCCAGGCUUAAGAAGAAAACAGAACUUAUAGACCAUCUUCUGGCAGAAGAUGAUAGAUUUGGAUCAGAGACGGGAGGCGUUGGAAGCCAGGAAUCAAAAGUGAAGAAAUUCUGCAAGCCUUUGGGUUCCUAUCACUGUAAUCAUGCCAGAAAUGACAGAGAAUGAGACUCCUACAAAAAAACAGCACAGAAAGAAAAACCGGGAGACACACAAUGCAGGUAGAAACAACAAUUUAAAUUUUAUUUGAUAGCACUUUUUGCACUCAAAAUGAAGGCAUACUGUAGUUGCUUGUAAGUUUCUAUGUUACAAGCGUAGAAUCAUGAUUCAUUAUAUUUUAGGAAAAUGUUCCUUACUAUUUUUGUUCCUUUAUUGUUUAAUUGACAUAACGCCCCUCAAGUCUCAUGAAGAUGGCCUCCUUCUUUACUAUCUUCUGAUUCAUUGUCUAUUUAGAUAAAUUAAAGAUUAAUAUGCCCCUGGAACUAGUGUUGUAAGUGAUUUCACUCACUGAAGAACUCCAGUUCUACCUCUUCAAAUGGAACAAAGAGUAUGUGUCUUUGCAGAAAUUCCAGAGGUGGCUGGUUGCCUAGAGGAAUAGGGGAGAGAUGAGCAGCAGGCUGUAGAUAUUUUUUUAAAAUUUUUUAUUUAUUUAUGAUAGUCAGAGAGAGGGGGAGAGAGAGAGAGAGAGGCAGAGGGAGAAGCAGGCUCCAUGCACUGGGAGCCCAACAUGGGAUUCGAUCCCAGGUCUCCAGGAUCGCGCCCUGGGCCAAAGGCAGGCACUAAACUGCUGCGCCACCCAGGGAUCCCCCAGGCUGUAGAUAUUAAAGGUCCUUGAACUGUCAAGUCUUUUUUUUUUUUUUUUAAAA